rnacentral:rRNA from 1 species
GACGAACGCUGGCGGCGUGCCUAAUACAUGCAAGUAGAACGCUGAAGCUUGGUGCUUGCACCGAGCGGAUGAGUUGCGAACGGGUGAGUAACGCGUAGGUAACCUGCCUGGUAGCGGGGGAUAACUAUUGGAAACGAUAGCUAAUACCGCAUAAAAUGGAUUAUCGCAUGAUAAUCCAUUGAAAGGUGCAAAUGCAUCACUACCAGAUGGACCUGCGUUGUAUUAGCUAGUUGGUGGGGUAACGGCUCACCAAGGCGACGAUACAUAGCCGACCUGAGAGGGUGAUCGGCCACACUGGGACUGAGACACGGCCCAGACUCCUACGGGAGGCAGCAGUAGGGAAUCUUCGGCAAUGGACGGAAGUCUGACCGAGCAACGCCGCGUGAGUGAAGAAGGUUUUCGGAUCGUAAAGCUCUGUUGUAAGAGAAGAACGAGUGUGAGAGUGGAAAGUUCACACUGUGACGGUAUCUUACCA